ACACAGCUAAAAUAAGGCCUUCACCAUUUUCCUCAUUCUUCUUCUUCAUCGUGAACCCUAUCUUGACCAUACACACAGAAAAAACAAAGAAAAAUACAGACCAGUUUCUUCUUCCCAAACCAUCAGCCCUUCACUCCCUACCAUCAAAAAACAGCCACGCACUGCCAGUUAGCUCCACCUCACUAGCAGCCAUGGAAAGCAAUAGCUGAAAUAAACAUGGCCUUCUAUCUAGCCAAAAAAUGUGACCCUCUCUCUCUCUCUCUCUCUCUCUCUCUCUUUCAAAGCAAGUGCUUAGAAAAGCAGCAAAUCCUCGGCCAUGGCACCCACCUUUCCAACAACAGCAGCAAGUUACAGCUUCACCUUUCUUCAGCGUCUCUCUCAUCUUCUCAAGUAGCAGCGGUCGUGUUCCUCAACCACUCCAGUAGCUUCAACCGUAUCUCUUCAGUCACCAGAUGAAAGUAAUGUCAAUCAUGUAAAUAAUUAAAUAAUUUUUUUUUAAACAUAUCAAGGAAG
rnacentral:lncRNA from 1 species